rnacentral:tRNA from 1 species
AGGGGUGUAGUUCAAUGGUAGAACAUCGGUCUUCAAAAUCGAGUGUUGUGGGUUCGAGUCCUGUCACCCCUG